rnacentral:rRNA from 1 species
AGCGUAGACGGCGACGCAAGUCUGAAGUGAAAUACCCGGGCUCAACCUGGGAACUGCUUUGGAAACUGUGUUGCUGGAGUGCUGGAGAGGUAAGCGGAAUUCCUAGUGUAGCGGUGAAAUGCGUAGAUAUAUGGAAGAACACCAGUGGCGAAGGCGGCUGUCUGGUCUGUAACUGACGCUGAGGCUCGAAAGUAUGGGUAGCAAACA